CACGUAGGGCGCAAGCGUUGUCCGGAAUUAUUGGGCGUAAAGAGCUCGUAGGCGGUUUGUUGCGUCGGCUGUGAAAUCCCGAGGCUCAACCUCGGGUCUGCAGUCGAUACGAGCAAACUAGAGUGUUGCAGGGGAGACUGGAAUUCCUGGUGUAGCGGUGAAAUGCGCAGAUAUCAGGAGGAACACCGGUGGCGAAGGCGGGUCUCUGGGCAACAACUGACGCUGAGGAGCGAAAGCCAGGGGAGCAAACGGG
rnacentral:rRNA from 1 species